UACGUAGGGUGCAAGCGUUAAUCGGAAUUACUGGGCGUAAAGCGUGCGCAGGCGGUUGUGCAAGACAGAUGUGAAAUCCCCGGGCUUAACCUGGGAACUGCAUUUGUGACUGCACGGCUAGAGUGUGUCAGAGGGGGGUAGAAUUCCACGUGUAGCAGUGAAAUGCGUAGAGAUGUGGAGGAACACCGAUGGCGAAGGCAGCCCCCUGGGUCAAGAUUGACGCUCAUGCACGAAAGCGUGGGGAGCAAACAGG
rnacentral:rRNA from 1 species